rnacentral:tRNA from 2 species
UGACUUGAUACUUUAAGGUAAAAGAUCUGAUUUGCAUUCAGACAAUAAGUUUUUUAAACUUUCGGGUCAA